rnacentral:rRNA from 1 species
GAGGAAUAUUGCGCAAUGGCCGAAAGGCUGACGCAGCGACGCCGCGUGAGGGAUGAAGUCCGUUAGGAUGUAAACCUCUUUUGCAGGGGAUGAAUGUUCCCGUUUACCGGGAAUUGACAGUACCCUGCGAAUAAGGAUCGGCUAACUACGUGCCAGCAGCCGCGGUAAUACGUAGGAUCCGAGCGUUGUCCGGAAUUACUGGGUGUAAAGGGCGUGUAGGUGGAUUCUUAAGUCGGUGGUGAAAGCCUGCAGCUUAACUGCAGAAUUGCCUUCGAUACUGAGGAUCUUGAGUACGGCAGAGGGAGAUGGAAUUCAUGGUGUAGCGGUGAAAUGUGUAGAUAUCAUGAAGAACACCGGUAGCGAAGGCGGUCUCCUGGUCCGUAACUGACACUGAUGCGCGAAAGCGUGGGGAGCAAAC